rnacentral:sRNA from 1 species
GCUGGGCAUGGUGGUGCAUGCCUGUAAUCCCAGUGGCUUGGGAGGAUGAGGCAAAAGGAUUUCAAGUUCAAAGUCAGCCUUAGCAAGUUACAAGCCCUAAGCAACAUAGUGAGACCCUGUCUCAA